rnacentral:rRNA from 1 species
UGGGGAAUAUUGGACAAUGGGCGAAAGCCUGAUCCAGCCAUGCCGCGCGUGUGAAGAAGGUCUUCGGAUUGUAAAGCACUUUAAGUUGGGAGGAAGGGCAGUAAGCGAAUACCUUGCUGUUUUGACGUUACCGACAGAAUAAGCACCUGCUAACUCUGUGCCAGCAGCCGCGGUAAUACAGAGGGUGCAAGCGUUAAUCGGAAUUACUGGGCGUAAAGCGCGCGUAGGUGGUUCGUUAAGUUGAAUGUGAAAGCCCCGGGCUCAACCUGGGAACUGCAUCCAAAUCUGGCGAGCUAGAGUAGGGCAGAGGGUGGUGGAAUUUCCUGUGUAGCGGUGAAAUGCGUAGAUAUAGAAAGGAACACCAGUGGCGAGGGCGACCACCUGGGCUCAUACUGACACUGGGGUGCGAAAGAGUGGGGAGCAAACAGG